UGGAGGCUGGCCUUACAGAGGUUUCUUGGCACCAGCAGUUCCUGUCAUUCGCAUGACUCCAGGACCUAAGACUUUAAAUUAUGACCCCAAACAUUAUGAUGUUCUUGAAAGCACCGAACACAGGACAUGAGAAAUAAGGUUGCAUCCAUCUUCCCUGCUCUGGCGUGCUGCGGUGCUGCUGUGUGCUGUUUUAGGAACUGGGACCACUGUGUCGCUCCAGAGGAGACAGCACGAGACUCAAGCAGGAAGGGGGCUGCCAGAAGAAGCCCCAUGGAGAUGCGGCAUCUGUUCCAUCUUUCUCUUUCUGCUCUUGUUUUAAUCCUUCAGCUGAAAAACUUGGGCAGUGAGAUGCAGAAUUUGGCUUGGUCUGUUACACUUCAGGC
ensembl:lncRNA